AGGUUUUGUAAUCAUGCUAACUCUGAACAUAGACAUGAAAUGGCUUUAGAUGCUAAUGGGAAGAGACUGCUGGCAACAUCUGGUUCAGUGAGAGCACCCAUCUAUCAGGGGUAGUCUAUACCGCCUCAUCCAUAGGGCAGAUGCUGGUGAAGUUUACCUUGUUCACGCGUACGACAAAGAGAGAUUUGCAGAGGCCAGAAAGGAGUUGGAUGCCCUACAUAAAAAAGAACAACAAUACUCAACCUUGUUAACACCAGAUGUUCUUUUUUUUUUAAAUUGAUGUUGUUUAUGUUAAAUUUUUGUUGGAAUGAAUUGUUUUUUGGUUUUUGGGGUUUAGAAUAGGGUUUUGUGAAUCGUUCCUUGUUUUUGGAAUCAAUGUUGCUGCUACUGAGUUAUGUGUUGAAACUUGGAUAUAGAAAAUUUUAUAAUAAAACCUGUUUUGAUUAUGAA